UCAACCUGGGAACUGCAUCCAAAACUGAUUCACUAGAGUACGAAAGAGGAAAGUAGAAUUCACAGUGUAGCGGUGGAAUGCGUAGAUAUUGUGAAGAAUACCGAUGGCGAAGGCAGCUUUCUGGUUCUGUACUGACACUGAGGUGCGAAAGCGUGGGUAGCGAACAGGAUUAGAUACCCUGGUAGUCCACGCCGUAAACGAUGACAACUAGCUGUUGGGAAGCUAUGCUUUUCAGUGGCGCAGCUAACGUUUUAAGUUGUCCGCCUGGGGAGUACGGCCGCAAGGUUAAAACUCAAAUGAAUUGACGGGGACCCGCACAAGCGGUGGAGCAUGUGGUUUAAUUCGAUGCAACGCGAAAAACCUUACCUACACUUGACAUACUUGGAAUCUUUUGUAAUGAAAGAGUGCCUUUUGGAGCCAAGAUACAGGUGCUGCAUGGCUGUCGUCAGCUCGUGUCGUGAGAUGUUGGGUUAAGUCCCAUAACGAGCGCAACCCUUACCCUUAUUUGCCAGCGAUUCGGUCGGGAACUAUAAGGGGACUGCCGGUGAUAAACCGGAGGAAGGUGAGGACGACGUCAAGUCAUCAUGGCCCUUACGUGUAGGGCUACACACGUGCUACAAUGGGGAGUACAGAUAGACGCUAAAGCGCGAGCUGGUGCUAAUCUCAUAAAACUCUUCGUAGUCCGGAUUGCAGUCUGCAACUCGACUGCAUGAAGUCGGAAUCGCUAGUAAUCGCGAAUCAGCAUGUCGCGGUGAAUACGUUCUCGGGUCUUGUACACACCGCCCGUCACACCAUGGGAGUGUAUUGCACCAGAAGUGGGUAGUCUAACCUUCGGGAGGGCGCUCACCACGGUGUGGUCCAUGACUGGGGUGAAGUCGUAACAAGGUAACCGUA
rnacentral:rRNA from 1 species